rnacentral:rRNA from 1 species
AGUGAACGCUGGCGGUAGGCCUAACACAUGCAAGUCGAACGGCAGCACAGUAAGAGCUUGCUCUUACGGGUGGCGAGUGGCGGACGGGUGAGGAAUACAUCGGUAUCUACUUUUUCGUGGAGGAUAACGUAGGGAAACUUACGCUAAUACCGCAUACGACCUACGGUUGAAAGCAGGGGAUCUUCGGACCUUGCGCGAUUGAAUGAGCCGAUGUCGGAUUACCUAGUUGGCGGGGUACAGGCCCCCCAAGGCGACGAUCCGUAGCUGGUCUGAGAGGAUGAGCAGGCCCACCGGAAAUGUGCUACAGCAAAGCCUGGGAGGGGAGGCAGCAGUGGGGAAUAGUGGCCAGUGGGAGCAAGUCUGCCCCAGGCAUACCGCGUGCGUGAAGAAGGCCUUCGGGUUGGAAAGCCCUUUUGUGGGGAAAGCACAGCAGAAGGUUAAUACCCAGCUGUUCUGACGGUACCUAAAGAAUAAGCACCGGCUAACUUCGUG